rnacentral:rRNA from 1 species
AUUGAACGCUGGCGGCAGGCCUAACACAUGCAAGUCGAGCGAGCGGCGGACGGGUGAGUAAUGUAUGGGGACUGCCCGAUAGAGGGGGAUCACUACUGGAAACGGUCGCUAAUACCGCAUCCUCUCGGAUAACCCAUAUGGGAUUAGCUAGUUGGUGGGGUAAAGGCUCACCAAGGCAACGAUCCGUAGCUGGUUUGAGAGGACGACCAGCCACACUGGGACGGAGACACGGCCCAGACUCCUACGGAGGCAGCAGUGGGGAAUUUUGGACAAGGGGGGAAACCCUGAUCCAGCAAUCCCGCGUGUAUGAUGAAGGCCUUCGGGUUGUAAAGUACUUUUGGCAGAGAAGCGGUAUCUGCAGAAUAAGCACCGGCUAACUACGUGCCAGCAGCCGCGGUAAUUC